CAGGCCUAACACAUGCAAGUCGAACGGACAGUAGCAAUACUGUUAGUGGCGCACGGGUGCGUAACACGUAACUAACCUACCCAUUACUGGGGGAUAGCCCGCCGAAAGGCGGAUUAAUACCGCAUAAGAUAAGGUGGCGGCAUCGUCUCUUUAUUAAAGAUUUAUUGGUAGUGGAUGGGGUUGCGGGUCAUUAGCUAGUUGGUAAGGUAACGGCUUACCAAGGCGACGAUGACUAGGGGAGCUGAGAGGCUGGUCCCCCACACGGGCACUGAGAUACGGGCCCGACUCCUACGGGAGGCAGCAGUAGGGAAUAUUGGGCAAUGGGCGAGAGCCUGACCCAGCCAUGCCGCGUGCAGGAAGAAGGCUUUCCGAGUCGUAAACUGCUUUUGACAGGGAAGAAUAAGGCGUACGUGUACGCUGAUGACGGUCUCUGCAGAAUAGCCACCGUCUAUCUCGGUGCCCCCAGCCGCGGACAUACA
rnacentral:rRNA from 1 species